UACGGAGGGGGCUAGCGUUGUCCGAAGUUACUGGGCGUAAAGCGCGCGUAGGCGGGUUGGUAAGUCCGCUGUGAAAGCCCGGAGCUUAACUCCGGAGGGUCGGUGGAUACUGCCAGUCUUGAAGGUGCUAGGGGGAGAUGGAAUUACCGGUGUAGCGGUGAAAUGCGUAGAUAUCGGUAGGAACACCAGUGGCGAAGGCGGUCUCCUGGGGCAUUCUUGACGCUGAGGCGCGAAAGCGUGGGUAGCAAACAGG
rnacentral:rRNA from 1 species